AACGAACGCUGGCGGCAUGCCUAACACAUGCAAGUCGAACGAGACCUUCGGGUCUAGUGGCGCACGGGUGCGUAACGCGUGGGAACCUGCCCUUAGGUUCGGAAUAACUCCCCGAAAGGGGUGCUAAUACCGGAUAAUGUCUUCGGACCAAAGAUUUAUCGCCUUUGGAUGGGCCCGCGUUGGAUUAGCUAGUUGGUAGGGUAAAAGCCUACCAAGGCGACGAUCCAUAGCUGGUCUGAGAGGAUGAUCAGCCACACUGGGACUGAGACACGGCCCAGACGCUGCCGGGAGGCAGCAGUGGGGAAUGUGGGAAAAUGGGAGAAGGCGUUAACACCUCUUGCCGCGGGGGUGAUAAAGACCUGAGGGUGAUAAUACGCUUUGACCAGCGAUGAUAAAGAAGGCGCGGGGAGAAUAGGCACCGCAUACCUCCGAG
rnacentral:rRNA from 1 species